CGUGGCGCACAGCUCAGUAACACGUGGCUAACCUACCCUUGGGACGGAAACACCCCGGGAAACUGGGGCUAAUUUCCGAUAGGUGAAGACUCCUGGAAUGGAUUUUCGCCUAAAGGGCGUUUAGAGCAUGCUUCUAGGCGUUGCCCAAGGAUGGGGCCGCGGCCGAUCAGGUUGUUGGUGAGGUAAUGGCCCACCAAGCCUUUAACCGGUACGGGCCGUGGGAGCGGUAGCCCGGAGAUGGGCACUGAGACAAGGGCCCAGGCCCUACGGGGCGCAGCAGUCGCGAAAACUUCGCAAUAAGCGAAAGCUUGACGGGGCCAUCCCGAGUGCCAUCUGCUGAGGAUGGCUUUUACCCAGUAUAGAUAGCUGGGAGAAUAAGGAGAGGGCAAGUCUGGUGUCAGCCGCCGCGGUAAUACCAGCUCUCCGAGUUGUAGGGAUGUUUAUUGGGCCUAAAGCAUCCGUAGCCGGCUGGACAAGUCCUCUGUUAAAUCCAGCGACCAAUCGUUGGUCUGCGGGGGAUACUGUCCGGCUAGGGGGCGGGAGAGGCCGUCGGUAUUCCUGGGGUAGGGGUGAAAUCCUAUAAUCCCAGGAGGACCACCAGUGGCGAAGGCUGUCGGCUAGAACGCGCCCGACGGUGAGGGAUGAAAGCUGGGGGAGCGAACCGGAUUAGAUACCCGGGUAGUCCCAGCUGUAAACGAUGCAGGCUAGGUGUUAGGGCGGCUACGUGCCGCUCUAGUGCCGCAGGGAAGCUGUUAAGCCUGCCGCCUGGGGAGUACGCCGCGAGGCUGAAUUUA
rnacentral:rRNA from 1 species